rnacentral:ncRNA from 2 species
GAAGUCGAAAUCCGCUAAGGAGU